rnacentral:rRNA from 1 species
UACGGAGGGGGCUAGCGUUGUUCGGAUUCAUUGGGCGUAAAGGGUGUGUAGGUGGCGCGCUAAGUCGGGUGUGAAAUUUCGGAGCUUAACUCCGAAACUGCAUUCGAUACUGGCGUGCUUGAGGACUGGAGAGGAGACUGGAAUUCAUGGUGUAGCAGUGAAAUGCGUAGAGAUCAAUGAGGAAGACCAGUGGCGAAGGCGGGUCUCUGGACAGUUCCUGACACUGAGACACGAAGGCCAGGGGAGCAAAACGGG